rnacentral:rRNA from 1 species
CCUACGGGAGGCAGCAGUGAGGAAUAUUGGUCAAUGGGCGCGAGCCUGAACCAGCCAAGUAGCGUGAAGGAUGACUGCUCUACGGGCUGUAAACUUCUUUUAUAAAGGAAUAAAGUGAGGCACGUGUGCCUUUUUGUACGUACUUUAUGUAUAAGGAUCGGCAAACACCGGGCCACCAGCCGCGGAACUACGGGGGAUGCGAGCGUUAUCCGGUUUUAUUGGGUUUAAAGGGUGCGCAGGCGGAGGCACAAGUCAGCGGUAAAAUCGCGGGGCUCAACCCCGCUCGGCAGUUGAAACUGGGUGCCUUGAGUGCACGAAGGGUAGGCGGAAUGCGUGGUGUAGCGGUGAAAUGCAUAGAUAUCACGCAGAACUCCGAUCGCGAAGGCAGCCUACCGGCGCGCAACUGACGCUCAUGCACGAAAGCGUGGGUAUCGAACAGGAUUAGAUACCCCAGUAGUC